rnacentral:tRNA from 1 species
GGUUGUAUAGUGUAGUGGUUAUCACGUCGGAUUCUGAAGGCUUUCAUUUGUCUUCCGGAGAUCCUGGUUCGAUUCCGGGUACGACCU